rnacentral:rRNA from 1 species
CCUACGGGAGGCAGCAGUGGGGGAUAUUGCACAAUGGGGGGAAGCCUGAUGCAGCGAUGCCGCGUGGGUGAAGAAGCGCUUCGGCGCGUAAAGCUCUGUCAGCAGGGAAGAAAAUGACGGUACCUGAAGAAGAAGCACCGGCUAACUACGUGCCAGCAGCCGCGGUAAUACGUAGGGGGCAAGCGUUAUCCGGAUUUACUGGGUGUAACGGGGGCGCAGACGGCGGUGCAAGCCAGGAGCGAAAGCCCGGGGCCCAACCCCGGGACUGCUCUUGGAACUGCGUGGCUGGAGUGCAGGAGGGGGAGGCGGAAUUCCUGGUGUAGCGGUGAAAUGCGUAGAUAUCAGGAGGAACACCGGUGGCGAAGGCGGCCUGCUGGACUGCAACUGACGUUGAGGCCCGAAAGCGUGGGGAGCAAACAGGAUUAGAUACCCGUGUAGUC